rnacentral:rRNA from 1 species
GACGAACGCUGGCGGCGUGCCUAAUACAUGCAAGUCGAGCGAAUGGAUUAAGAGCUUGCUCUUAUGAAGUUAGCGGCGGACGGGUGAGUAACACGUGGGUAACCUGCCCAUAAGACUGGGAUAACUCCGGGAAACCGGGGCUAAUACCGGAUAACAUUUUGAACCGCAUGGUUCGAAGUUGAAAGGCGGCUUCGGCUGUCACUUAUGGAUGGACCCGCGUCGCAUUAGCUAGUUGGUGAGGUAACGGCUCACCAAGGCAACGAUGCGUAGCCGACCUGAGAGGGUGAUCGGCCAGACUGGGACUGAGACACGGCCCAGACUCCUACGGGAGGCAGCAGUAGGGAAUCUUCCGCAAUGGACGAAAGUCUGACGGAGCAACGCCGCGUGAGUGAUGAAGGCUUUCGGGUCGUAAAACUCUGUUGUUAGGGAAGAACAAGUGCUAGUUGAAUAAGCUGGCACCUUGACGGUACCUAACCAGAAAGCCACGGCUAACUACGUGCCAGCCGCCGCAGUAA